rnacentral:rRNA from 1 species
GACGAACGCUGGCGGCGUGCUUAACACAUGCAAGUCGAGCGGUAAGGCCCUUUCGGGGGUACGACGAGCGGCGAACGGGUGAGUAACACGUGGGUGACCUGCCCUCAGCUCUGGGAUAAGCCUGGGAAACCGGGUCUAAUACCGGAUAUGACUCCAUGACGCAUGUUGUGGGGUGGAAAGCCUUGUGCGGCUGAGGAUGGGCCCGCGGCCUAUCAGCUUGUUGGUGGGGUGAGGCCUACCAAGGCGACGACGGGUAGCCGGCCUGAGAGGGCGACCGGCCACACUGGGACUGAGACACGGCCCAGACUCCUACGGGAGGCAGCAGUGGGGAAUCUUGCGCAAUGGGCGAAAGCCUGACGCAGCGACGCCGCGUGAGGGAUGACGGCCUCGGUUGUAAC